CCUACGUGUGGCAGCAGUGAGGAAUAUUGGUCAAUGGGCGGAAGCCUGAACCAGCCAAGUAGCGUGUAGGAUGACGGCCCUACGGGUUGUAAACUGCUUUUAUACGGGAAUAACGCGCCUUACGUGUAGGGCUUUGCAUGUACCGUAUGAAUAAGGACCGGCUAAUUCCGUGCCAGCAGCCGCGGUAAUACGGAAGGUCCGGGCGUUAUCCGGAUUUAUUGGGUUUAAGGGGAGCGUAGGCCGCAUGUCAAGCGUGCUGUGAAAUGUCCGGGCUCAACCCGGGCCUUGCAGCGCGAACUGGCGUGCUGGAGUCCGCGGAAAGCAGGCGGAAUUCGUCGUGUAGCGGUGAAAUGCUUAGAUAUGACGAAGAACCCCGAUUGCGAAGGCAGCUUGCUGCAGCGGAACUGACGCUGAUGCUCGAAAGCGCGGGUAUCGAACAGGAUUAGAUACCCGGGUAGUC
rnacentral:rRNA from 1 species